ACGGCCAUACCACGUUGAAAACACCGGUUCUCGUCCGACCACCAAAGUUAAGCAACGUCGGGCCCGGUCAGUACUUGGGAGGGUGACCACCUGGGAACACCGGGUGCUGUAGGCU
rnacentral:rRNA from 1 species